AAAAAAAAUCCCUAGAUCCCUCUUACAUAAUAAUCAAAACCUAGAUCCUCUUACAUAAAUAAAUAUAAACCCAAAAUGUCAAAUUAUUAAAACUUAGGAUUUUUUAACCAAAAACUUAGGAUUAUUAAAAGCAAAUAUUGUGCUUAACAUUCAGAACUGAACACAGUUAAAAAUUGUGUACAAAAUCACAGAUUAAAUCUGUAAAUUCUCAUUAUUACAAUUGCUUAGGGAGACUUAAAAGAUCAUCAUAACCGAGGACUUGAAAAUUCAAUACGGGUGUGACUAUCUUGUUCAUUUAGAAGCUGGAAAAUUGAGAUCUACUCACACACCUCGAAAUUCAUUAUUAGCACUGGAAAAGUGUAGACUCUUCUGUCCACCGAGCGCUUGAGUAGACUUUAACAAUUUCCAAGCUGCCCCUAGCAUUUUUAGGGACGUUCGUAUUGCUGGAAAAGCCAAAGGGUCAACUCGUUUUAUUUGAUUAAACAGUGCAUUUUCUACUUCAUCCGACUAGUUCAGGGUUCAAGAUCCGGGCACUAAAAAAGUUUAUGAUCUANNNNNNNNNNNNNNNNNNNNNNNNNNNNUGCUUUGUGCCCACCAAAAGCGUGAUAAUAUUGGAAUACUUUUCCACACCUCCCACACUUGGAACUGACUCGCAAGUGAGCUUGAACAAGCGGGUCAUUACUAUUGUCUUCAUUGUCUUUUGCCUUCAUUUUGUAGUUUUCCUUUAUUUUUUGUGUCUUGACUACUUCCCUUUUAUGUGCGUCUUUGUAAAAAUCGCACACCACCUAAGAACCUUCAAGAGUUUUAUUUUCACAUAUUGAAGCACCUAGAAGUUUCAGUCUCACAUAUUGAACUUGUAUGAUCUGGAAGAACUUUUGUAUCAACCGAUGCAUUAUGUUUGCCAUGACAUUUGAUUCUUUUGAAGGUUGGCUUUUUCGUCUUGGACUCAUAUUUGUUUUCUCUCUGUUGGUGUUUGCAUAUAAGGCAAAGAAGUUGCAUUUCAUAGCUAGAAAAUUUUGUAUUUGUUCUUUUUUGGGAUGGCAAGUGAGUAAGGAAGCAGAUUGAAUUUAAUGAUGGGUCAAAUUAGCUGAAUUUGUAAUGUUUGAUUUUUAAUUUCAAUCUUUUGAUGAAUCAGUAAUUUGACCAUGUGAGAUCUCGUGUGGCCUCCAAUGGCUUUCCCACUGGAGAACCAUCUACCACAAAUCCCACAUGUUUUAUCGUUGUUCUUCUCCAUAGUUGUAGAAAAUUGUAAAAUCCAAAUACUUUCUCACACCUUUGUUGUAGAUGACUGAUUGUUGACUUGGGAAAUUUAUAGGGGGUAUACGUUAGUAGCAUACCUUAUAUGCAGAGAAGAAUCCAUGUCAUGUGCGCCCAACAGGUUCUAGAUAAAGAUUAAAAAAGCUUAUAUGAAAAAGCCGUAAUAAAUGAUAGCCUACUGAGACCUUAUUCAACAUUUGCGUUAAUUAAGUCAAUAAUUUAAAUUUAAUAGUAUUUUCGUAUGACCUCAUUAAGUUAAUAAUUCACGCAAACGCUAAAUAAGGUCAUAGCAGAUUAUCAUAUAUUAUGUCUUUUCAUAUUUUGUUCCUUUUGUAUAAGCGAAACUUUUUUAACCUUAGAACCUAAUGGCGCACAUGGCGUGGAUUCUUACAUGUCUAUAAGGAAUGCUUGUAACCUAUCCCUCUAUAAAUUUCUCAAUUCAACAAACACUCAUCUAUAACAAAGGUGGGAGGAAAUAUUAUUUGGAUUUUACAAUUUUCUGCAACUAUGGAGAAGAACAAUGGAAAAACAUGUGGGAUUUGUGGUAAGUGAUUCUCCAGUGGGAAAGCCAUUGGAGACCACAAGAGAUUUCACUUGGUCAAAUUGUUGAUUCAUCAAAAGAUUGAAAUCAAAAAUCAAGCAUUACAAAAUUCAGCCAAUUUAAUCUAACAUCUAAUUCAAUCUGUUUCCUUACUCACUUGCAAUCCAAAAAAUACAAAUUACAAUUUUUUUUCUCUAUGACACGCAACUUCUCUACCUUAUCAAUAAACACAAAUAGAGAAAACGAAUAUGAGUCCAAGCUAAAAAAGUCAACCUUCAAAAGAUCCAAAUGCCACCGCAAAAUAAUGCAGUGGUUGAUACAAAAAAAUUUCCAAAUCAAAACAGUUCAGUAUGUGAAAUCGAAAUUCCUAAAGGUGCUUCAAUAUAUGAGAAUGAAACUCUUGAAGGUGCUUGAGUGGUGUGGGGGUUUUACAAAGAUGAAAAGGGAAGUAGUCUAGGCACAAAAAAUGAAGGAAAUCUACAAAAAGAAUGCAAAAGACAAUGAAGGUAGUAGUGAUAACUCGCUUGUUCAAGCUCACUUGCAAGCCAGUUCCAAGUGUGUGACGUGGGGAAAAGUAUUCCGAUCAUAUCACGCUAUUGGUGGGCGCAAAGCAUACCGCAAAAGUGACAACAAUGAUGGCCCACAAAUAUCGAUAUGUAUCAGUUUAAGGAUAUCUGAAGUCUUAUUGGCCUCAUAUUUCAUUCUAUUGAUUUGUUCAUCUUUUUGUAAUAUAUGACUGUGUGAUUUCAUUUGACACGAGUCUCUCUAUUUGGAGAUGUCACUCAAUCUCUUGUGCCAAAUGUACCCAAAUUCUCAUUAGUGAAUUAAAUGAAACAAUUGUGUUAAUUAAAUAAAAAUUAUUGUAACCUGACAAAGAACCAAAACCAACCAAUUUUAAAACAAUUUAAAUUUCCAUACCCAAUUAAAAAAAAAUGGUUAAAAAUAGAAAUGGAAAUUAAAUUUCAUAUGAAAGACAGUACAAAAAUAAUUUCACCAAAAUCCAAAUAAAAUUUAGUCUUUAUCGAUAAUCUAAAUUUUUCAAUUGCCUCAACUUGAAUUAUUUUGUAGUCAGCCACAUUGAUGUAUAUUUCACCAUCACUUAGUUUCCGAUAAUUCAUAAAACCUUGCAUAGGCACACCGAUGUAAGUUGUGGCACCACAAUCUAAAUUAACGUCAAAACAAACCAAAUUGAAGAACAAAUAUUACCUUAGCAUGUCAUAUUUGACGGUUAAAGUAAUGUUCUUUACAUGUCCUUCACUUCCACAAAAGAAACUGUUGCUUCUACACAAUUCAAUUGAUUUAUAUUCUUAUCACUUUUGAGUACCUCUAAUAGGCUUUUGAUAAACUUUAGAGGUACUCUCUUCUG
rnacentral:lncRNA from 1 species